CUGUGUAACUAAAUCUUGAUGCCAUUUGAGGUUGGGAAAUGCAGACAGGUGGCCAAAUAUCUAAUUAUUUCAGUUCUUAUGAAAACUACUAUUGCAAAGAGAGAGCAUGGAUGUUGUUUAUUAAAUCCCAUCUUUUUCUUCAACAAAGGCAUGACAUCCCUAGGUUUGACUUAUAAUCUAAUAGGAGAUCUGUCAUUAGCAUUCCACAGUAUCCAUGGAGAAGACGAAGCAGAAUGCUUUCAUUAAUUGUCAGGAAACUGAUGAAGACCUUUAUGUUGAAAAAUGCUGUUGGGCAGAUUUUGAAAUAUACUACACAGGAUUUGGCCUGUUAAGGAAGGACUCAUUAUUGAUUUUGUAUGACAUCAGCCAUGAAAAUUCUAGAAGUGUCUCCUUUGGCUCCACCAUACAGCCAAGUAAUUGAAGAAAGAAUAGAGCUGACUUUGAUCUCUGUGAGGUGCUAAUUUGAAAGAUCUGGGGACUGUUAAGAACUUAGGAAGCAAGGAAGCAGUACAUAAACAAUGACCUUUAUCUCGAAGGCCAUUACUGACGCAUUACUCUCUGGAUACAUUCAUUUAU